UGUGAAGCAAAUCGCACCAAAGCCAGUCCCAGUUCGGAUAAGAGGCUGAAACUCGCCUCUUUGAAGUCGGAAUCGCUAGUAAUCGCAGAUCAGCAUGUUGCGGUGAAUACGUUCCCGGGUCUUGUACACACCGCCCGUCAAACCAUGAGAGUCACCAACACCCGAAGUCCGCCUUGGCGGCCUAAGGUGGGGGAGAUGAUUGGGGUUAAGUCGUAACAAGGUACC
rnacentral:rRNA from 1 species